rnacentral:rRNA from 1 species
GACGAACGCUGGCGGCGUGCCUAACACAUGCAAGUCGAGCGAUGAAGUUCUUCGGAACGGAUUAGCGGCGGACGGGUGAGUAACGCGUGAGCAAUCUGCCUUACACAAAGGGAUAGCCUCGGGAAACUGGGAUUAAUACCAUAUGACACUUGGUAAUCGCAUGAGGACCAAGUCAAAGAUUUUAUCGGUGUAAGAUGAGCUCGCGUCUGAUUAGCUAGUUGGUGGGGUAAAGGCCUACCAAGGCGACGAUCAGUAGCCGGCCUGAGAGGGUGAACGGCCACACUGGAACUGAGACACGGUCCAGACUCCUACGGGAGGCAGCAGUGGGGAAUAUUGCACAAUGGGCGCAAGCCUGAUGCAGCGACGCCGCGUGAGCGAAGAAGGUUUUCGGAUCGUAAAGCUCUGUCCUCUGGGAAGAAAAAAUGACGGUACCAGAGGAGGAAGCCCCGGCUAACUACGUGCCAGCAGCCGCGGUAAGCAUACUCGUA